rnacentral:lncRNA from 1 species
AUUUUUGUAGCGUAAAAGCUAAAUAAAUUCAUAAAUACUGUAAUACAAAUAACCAAAGUAUAAAAUUUAAUUUACAGUGACACGUGGGCCCACGAACGACUAAAAGUAUCAAAAGCAAUAAACCUACAGUUUUUGAGGAUGCAAGUCCAACUGUAGCCCUCAACGAAAUGAGCUAUCUACUGACUAUCCUGAGCCUAAAAUGGGUAAAAAGGAGGGUGGUGAGAUUAUAUAAUCCCAAUGAGUAAACAAAUAUCAUCUAAAAUAUCUAAAGCUGAAUAAAUGGAGACAGAUAAAAUAGUUUAACAUACUGUAAUUCAUCACCUUUUAACUCAUUUCAACCAAAUAAAAUCAAUUCAUAUAAAUCGAGUAAUCAACAUGGCUUAUGAAUUUCUUAAAACUUUGGCUAGUGCCAAAAUUAUUCUCAUACUCAGUUAUCAGGGAUACCUUGGUCGAGGGCUAUCCCAACCGAGUCUGCCAAGGUUGUUAAAAAGUUAUGUACGCAUAAAUCAUGUUUUUAUUUUGGAAACAUAGUCGUUCCUUGGCGUUGGCUGAGUUCGCCCUCACAUGGUGGUUUGGCGUGAAGUGAACUCUAAAGUUUUAACCUCAUGAGUUAUCCAAUUGUGCCCCUCAUACUGAGGUAUGAAUAUUAUAGGGUUAUCGUGCCCCUCUAAUAGGCUGGUCCACGGAACCCGUCCACUGCAGCGACUAAUCAAUAACCCUCCAAUUCAAUAAAAUUCAAUAGCAUGACAUGGCAAUUUUAUCAUUAUCCAGCCUAUCAAGGCAAACAAUAGUUUAUGCAUUUUCAACACAAAUACCAAUUCAACCAUUCCUGCCAAUAUUAUCAUAAGCCAUUCAAUUCAAACCAUGAUUUAUAAAACAACAAUUAGUCUCCAAUUACUCCAUUUUCAAAACCAUCAUUCAAUUUCAAGACAAUUUUAUAAAAUCAUUUCAUUUAAUCACAUUUUGUUUAUAAAACAUAAAGAUUUACUAUUUAAACUCAUUUUCCAUAAAAUCACAAAAUCGGAUAAAAACCACUUUAGAUAAUUAAGAUGAUAGUAAGGUUACUCACUGUUUCAGGAGUCGAAUUUUGAGUACUCCGAUUCUUGAUCCUCAGGUACUAUCUCUUUACUUUUGCCAGAAUGCUCACCACCUAGACAUAAUGCACAAUAAGCCAUUUAAUACAUUUGUGCUAAAUUGUUAUAAAACCAAUUCAGGCUUUAUACUAAUGCAUGAAAUGGGAUGUGAAAUACUCGGUUAACUAUCUAAAUAUGGUGUUCAAUAUAAAUUCAAUUAUGUACCUAAAUAAAACGGUAUUGGCCUAAUUCGAUCUAUCACCCGAUUAAUUGGCCAAUACGUCCAAUUCAACUCCGAAUAAUUUCAUUUUUCUCCCAAUACUCCAAAUCAUCAAACACAAGUUAAAUAACUUGAAUUAUGGCAAAAUCAUCCUCACAUUUUCUCUUGGAAAAAUCGACCACGGUGGGUGCAUCAACACUAUAAUUUUUCAAGCUUGAUUCUCACACCAUAAAUCACUAAUUUCUAACCAAAUCACUUGAAAUAAAUCAAAAUCAUCAUCAAUACUCUACAAGGAAGAUUCAGCCAAUGGAGGUUCUUAAGAGGUAUACGGUUUUUCAUGCUAAACAUUACCAUUUUCAGUUUCCACCACCACAAUUCAUUAAAUUCUAACUAAAUAACAUAAGACAUCACAAGAUUCAUCUUCAAUAUUGUCUUUAUGAAAUUCAGCCAAUGAAGAAUCCAUGAAGAACAUGUGAUUUUUCUUACUUGUUUUCCUUCCAAACAUGAUAAAUCAACUAUAAACACUAAAAUAUCUCAAAAUCUAACCAAAUAAAUCAUCAAAUCUUCUCUCUCUAAAUUCGGUCAGCCAUGAAUCCUUCAUGAUAUCUUGUGAUUCAUCCAUGGAAAAUGCAAAAUAAUGCAUGGAAAAGGUAUAUCACAAGUCAAAAUCAAGAAAGUUUACCUUUGAUUGCUUGAUUACUUGAAAUCCAUCAAUUUUCUCUUGAAUUUUCACUCUAGGGUUUUUGUUCUUCUUUUCUUCCUUUGUUCUUGCUAUGGCCGGCCAUGAGAAAUGAGUUGGGA